rnacentral:rRNA from 1 species
GCUGUCUGGUAAGUCAGAGGUGAAAGUCGGUUGCUUAACGAUCGAAUGGCCUUUGAAACUGUCAGACUUGAGUAUGGAUGUGGUAGGCGGAAUGUGUAGUGUAGCGGUGAAAGGCAUAGAUAGUACACAGAACUCCAAUUGCGAAAGCAGCUUACCAAACCAGCACUGACGCUGAAGCACGAAAGCGUGGGUAGCGAACAGGAUUAGAUACCCUGGUAGUCCACGCAGUAAACGAUGCUCACUCGCUGUUGGCAAUACACCGUCAGCGGCUAAGGGAAACCGAUAAGUGAGCCACCUGGGGAGUACGAUCGCAAGAUUGAAACUCAAAGGAAUUGACGGGGGCCCGCACAAGCGGUGGAACAUGUGGUUUAAUUCGAUGAUACGCGAGGAACCUUACCUGGGCUUAAAUGUGAAGUGCAUUGUUUGGAAACAGACAUUUCCUUCGGGACUCUUUACAAGGUGCUGCAUGGUUGUCGUCAGCUCGUGCCGUGAGGUGUCGGGUUAAGUCCCAUAACGAGCGCAACCCCUAUUGUUAGUUACCAGCGCGUCAAGGCGGGGACUCUAACGAGACUGCCGGUGUAAACCGCGAGGAAGGUGGGGAUGACGUCAAAUCAGCACGGCCCUUAUGUCCAGGGCUACACACGUGUUACAAUGGUCGGUACAGAGGGCAGCUAGGCAGCGAUGUCAAGCGAAUCUCGAAAGCCGAUCCCAGUUCGGAUUGGAGUCUGCAACCCGACUCCAUGAAGGUGGAAUCGCUAGUAAUCGCGCAUCAGCCAUGGCGCGGUGAAUACGUUCCCGGGCCUUGUACACACCGCCCGUCAAGCCAUGGAAGUCUGGGGUGCCUGAAGGCCGUAACCGCAAGGAGCGGUCUAGGGUAA